CAGGCUUAACACAUGCAAGUCGAGGGGCAUCAGGAAGAAAGCUUGCUUUCUUUGCUGGCGACCGGCGCACGGGUGAGUAACACGUAUCCAACCUGCCCUUUACUCGGGGAUAGCCUUUCGAAAGAAAGAUUAAUACCCGAUAGCAUAAUGAUUCCGCAUGGUUUCAUUAUUAAAGGAUUCCGGUAAAGGAUGGGGAUGCGUUCCAUUAGGUUGUUGGUGAGGUAACGGCCCACCAAGCCUUCGAUGGAUAGGGGUUCUGAGAGGAAGGUCCCCCACAUUGGAACUGAGACACGGUCCAAACUCCUACGGGAGGCAGCAGUGAGGAAUAUUGGUCAAUGGGCGCUAGCCUGAACCAGCCAAGUAGCGUGAAGGAUGAAGGCUCUAUGGGUCGUAAACUUCUUUUAUAUAAGAAUAAAGUGCAGUAUGUAUACUGUUUUGUAUGUAUUAUAUGAAUAAGGAUCGGCUAACUCCGUGCCAGCAGCCGCGGUAAUACGGAGGAUCCGAGCGUUAUCCGGAUUUAUUGGGUUUAAAGGGAGCGUAGGUGGACUGGUAAGUCAGUUGUGAAAGUUUGCGGCUCAACCGUAAAAUUGCAGUUGAUACUGUCAGUCUUGAGUACAGUAGAGGUGGGCGGAAUUCGUGGUGUAGCGGUGAAAUGCUUAGAUAUCACGAAGAACUCCGAUUGCGAAGGCAGCUCACUGGACUGCAACUGACACUGAUGCUCGAAAGUGUGGGUAUCAAACAGGAUUAGAUACCCUGGUAGUCCACACAGUAAACGAUGAAUACUCGCUGUUUGCGAUAUACAGUAAGCGGCCAAGCGAAAGCAUUAAGUAUUCCACCUGGGGAGUACGCCGGCAACGGUGAAACUCAAAGGAAUUGACGGGGGCCCGCACAAGCGGAGGAACAUGUGGUUUAAUUCGAUGAUACGCGAGGAACCUUACCCGGGCUUAAAUUGCAGUGGAAUGAUGUGGAAACAUGUCAGUGAGCAAUCACCGCUGUGAAGGUGCUGCAUGGUUGUCGUCAGCUCGUGCCGUGAGGUGUCGGCUUAAGUGCCAUAACGAGCGCAACCCUUAUCUUUAGUUACUAACAGGUUAUGCUGAGGACUCUAGAGAGACUGCCGUCGUAAGAUGUGAGGAAGGUGGGGAUGACGUCAAAUCAGCACGGCCCUUACGUCCGGGGCUACACACGUGUUACAAUGGGGGGUACAGAAGGCAGCUAGCGGGUGACCGUAUGCUAAUCCCAAAAUCCUCUCUCAGUUCGGAUCGAAGUCUGCAACCCGACUUCGUGAAGCUGGAUUCGCUAGUAAUCGCGCAUCAGCCACGGCGCGGUGAAUACGUUCCCGGGCCUUGUACACACCGCCCGUCAAGCCAUGAAAGCCGGGGGUACCUGAAGUGCGUAACCGCAAGGAGCGCCCUAGGGUAAAACUGGUGAUUGGGGCUAAGUCAUAACA
rnacentral:rRNA from 1 species